UACGUAGGGGGCGAGCGUUGUCCGGAGUUACUGGGCGUAAAGCGCACGCAGGCGGUCUGCUAAGUUUGGAGUGACAGUUGGUGGCUCAACCACCAAAGUGCUUUGAAAACUGACAGACUUGAGGGCUUCAGAGGGACACGGAAUUCCCGGUGUAGAGGUGAAAUUCGUAGAUAUCGGGAGGAACACCGGUGGCGAAGGCGGCGACCUGGGACAAUACUGACGCUGAGGUGCGAAAGCGUGGGUAGCAAACAGG
rnacentral:rRNA from 1 species